CACUGUUGAUGGUGAUGGAUGAUAUGUCACUGUAUGGAGAUUGAGGGGUUUUCUCUCCAAGUUUUACAGCGUAAGAACAUGUCACUUUAACCACAGCAGGUGAACUCUGAUUAGCCAUGUUCAGCAGCUCAGUCCCUGUCAGUGUCUUCACACAGGGGAAGACUUUGGCAGUUUGUUCCUUCACAGUGUAAAUAUAACACUGAGACACAGAAACAGAUGAUGGAGUCUGACAGUUCAAUGUGACUGAGUCUGUCUCUGUGAUCACCGGUGGAUUCA